AACGAACGCUGGCGGCAUGCCUAACACAUGCAAGUCGAACGAAGCCUUCGGGCUUAGUGGCGCACGGGUGCGUAACGCGUGGGAAUCUGCCCUUUGGUUCGGAAUAACAGUUGGACACGACUGCUAAUACCGGAUGAUGACGAAAGUCCAAAGAUUUAUCGCAAGAGGAUGAGCCGCGGUAGGAGUAGCUAGUUGGUGUGGUAAAGGAGCACCAAGGCGACGAUCCUUAGCUGGUCUGAGAGGAUGAUCAGCCACACUGGGACUGAGACACGGCCCAGACUCCUAUGGUAGGCAGCAGUGGGGAAUAUUGGACAAUGGGCGAAAGCCUGAUCCAGCAAUGCCGCGUGAGUGAUGAAGGCCCUAGGGUUGUAAAGCUCUUUUACCCGGGAUGAUAAUGACAGUACCGGGAGAAUAAGCCCCGGCUAACUCCGUGCCAGCCGCCGCAGUAA
rnacentral:rRNA from 1 species